rnacentral:rRNA from 1 species
UACGUAGGGGGCGAGCGUUGUCCGGAAUCAUUGGGCGUAAAGCGCGUGUAGGCGGCUCGGUAAGUCUGCUGUGAAAGUCCAGGGCUCAACCCUGGAAAGCGGGUGGAUACUGCCGGGCUAGAAUCCGGAAGAGGCGAGUGGAAUUCCUGGUGUAGCGGUGGAAUGCGCAGAUAUCAGGAGGAACACCAAUAGCGAAGGCAGCUCGCUGGGACGGUAUUGACGCUGAGGCGCGAAAGCGUGGGGAGCAAACAGG